CAGACCUUUACUAAUGAGUUCCACGAGGCCGAAUGCAAAGAACCAACUCUUUCACCCUAUGACCAAGCAGGCCACCGUGGACCUACACCCAGUAACUAACUACUGUCUGUGUAUGUGUGCUCCAAUGUAGGCCUACCAGGUUAUUGUGUUCUACAGGGAAGGCCUACCAGGUUAUUGUGUUCUACAGGGAAGGCCUACCAGGUUAUUGUUUGCUAAAGGGAAGGCCUACCAGGUUAUUGUUUGCUAAAGGGAAGGCCUACCAGGUUAUUGUUUGCUAAAGGGAAGGCCUACCAGGUUAUUG
ensembl:lncRNA